AGAGUUUGAUCCUGGCUCAGGAUGAACGCUAGCGGCAGGCUUAAUACAUGCAAGUCGAGGGGCAGCAUGAGUGUAGCAAUACAUUUGAUGGCGACCGGCAAACGGGUGCGGAACACGUACACAACCUUCCUAUAAGUGGGGAAUAGCCCAGAGAAAUUUGGAUUAAUACCCCGUAACAUAAUGAUGUGGCAUCACAUUAUUAUUAUAGCUACGGCGCUUAUUGAUGGGUGUGCGGCUGAUUAGAUAGUUGGCGGGGUAACGGCCCACCAAGUCUACGAUCAGUAGCUGAUGUGAGAGCAUGAUCAGCCACACGGGCACUGAGACACGGGCCCGACUCCUACGGGAGGCAGCAGUAAGGAAUAUUGGUCAAUGGACGCAAGUCUGAACCAGCCAUGCCGCGUGAAGGAUUAAGGUCCUCUGGAUUGUAAACUUCUUUUAUCUGGGACGAAAAAAGGCUAUUCUUAGUCACUUGACGGUACCAGAUGAAUAAGCACCGGCUAACUCCGUGCCAGCAGCCGCGGUAAUACGGAGGGUGCAAGCGUUAUCCGGAUUCACUGGGUUUAAAGGGUGCGUAGGCGGGCAGGUAAGUCAGUGGUGAAAUCCUGGAGCUUAACUCCAGAACUGCCAUUGAUACUAUCUGUCUUGAAUAUUGUGGAGGUAAGCGGAAUAUGUCAUGUAGCGGUGAAAUGCUUAGAUAUGACAUAGAACACCUAUUGCGAAGGCAGCUUACUACGCAUAUAUUGACGCUGAGGCACGAAAGCGUGGGGAUCAAACAGGAUUAGAUACCCUGGUAGUCC
rnacentral:rRNA from 1 species